GAUGAAGGUGUCAGGGAUCCAGAGCAGUGACACGAGGCGCCCGUCCACGCUGACACUCUCAUUUCCCGGGAACACCAGCCUGGAGUCACGCCACCGCUGACGGAGGAAGAUUGUUGCGGUGUAGUCCUGUAAAGGUGCCAGUUAAUCGAGAAACUGAGAAAUGAUACGAAUUGUCGUACACGACUUGCAACCUGUAAUACAUCAGUGCGACAAUUGAGCCUCCCACCCUGAAUGCGAUGGCGUCGGAAACGUGAAGCUCAGGCAGAGGAUCAGCAGCGCGUGCAGCCGGACGGACAUCUUGGACGUCAGCAGCUGCAAACCAUAACACGAACACACAAACCACAAA